CACAAAUCGGACCCCAGACCCGGACACGUGACCCGGGCAGGCAGCGGGCGCCCCCAGGCCAGCCAGAGGGCCCCUGGCGGAAGAAGGGGGCGCUGCGGGGAGCUCCGCGGGUGGCGGGGGGAGGUGCUGGUGGGCGGUGAAGGCGCACCUGGCUGCCCGGGAUGUCCGGUCGCCCCCGGAGCCGGUGCUUCCGGGCUAUCUCGGGCGUCCCCGGCGCGCCCCGACGUGCCGCGGACCUAUAAUUAAGUGGGAGUCAUGACUAAUAUCUACUGGGCACCUCGGUCCCUGAGUGACCCCUAGGAGUGGAGAGCCGCCCCACCUCCCGUUUGACAGAUACCAGGAAGUCAGGCGUUUGCCCACAGCGGCAGAACGCUGUCCCAGGCGGUCGCUCCUGGGCCGUGGCUGCUCUGGACAAGCUCUCCCAGCGCUCCAGAGGGGACCCUCAGGCCGGUUGUCCUGCACCUCUCAGACAGGCAUGAAGGAUGAUGUGGCCACCUGGCAGUGAAGGCGCCAGGACUGGAGCCCACGUCCACCUGAUCCCCGGUCCCAAGGUGCUCUAGCUGCCCUCUGCCCCUUGACCUUGGCCUUGUUGGGGUGGUUUGUCCCUGCACUGCCUUGAGUCUGUUCUCUCAUCUGAAAAGUGGGGGCCGAUAACUUCACCAUGCAUGGCUGCCCCCCCCGCCAUUGAGCCUCCUGCCCAGGAAGGCAGCAGCCUUGCGCACACCUGCAGGGCCUGGUGCCCUGAGGCAAGGGCACAGCCGCCCAGCUGCCUUCAUCUGGGUGGUGCAGGUGGGGGCCAGCUGGGCGUCCAGACCCAGGCCUCUGCCUGGUGCCAGAGCAGAUUUCAGAACAACUUGUAAUGACGAAACAGCACAUUUCCCUUUAUCUCUGGGAAGGAUUUCUUGGUUCAGGGCAAUUAACCCAGGAGCAGCCUCAGCUGAGUGGGCACCUCUCCUUGAAGAUCGAAAGUGUUAAUUAAGUCGUCAUCUCGGGCCGCCCCAGGCCCCGGCUCGGGAUCAGGCCUUUCCAGUCCAGCCUCCCCAGAAAGGCAGAUGAGCCAGCCAGCAGCCCAGGAGGGCAUUCUCAAUGUUGAUUUUAAAUCUCCAUUAAAUAUUUUUAUUUUCCUUUUUAAAUACACAAACAGCAAUGAAGUUUUAAAUAGCAUACGAGCCCGCAAUCGUUUUGUGGCUAUUUUGUGAAUGAAGACCUACGGGGAAGGGGCACUGGGGGGGGCUUCAGGAAGCGAGGCCAGAUCUGGACUGUCCAGGACAGGAGCCACUAGCCACGCAAGGCCAUUGGGCAUUUGAAACAUGGCCGAUCUGAGCUGUGAUGUGCUGUUGUUCGUGUAAAACACACGCAGCCUCCAGGACUUGGUAUGAAAGUGAAGAGUGUAAAAUUUCUCGUUAAUAAUUUUUCCAUUAAUUACCUGUUGAAAUGAUAAGAUUAUGACAUAUUGAGUUCAGUAAACUGUAUGAUUGCAAUUAA